GUGUCAGCAGCCGCGGUAAUACGAAGGGGGCUAGCGUUGUUCGGAAUUACUGGGCGUAAAGCGCACGUAGGCGGAUUGCUAAGUCAGGGGUGAAAUCCCGGGGCUCAACCUCGGAACUGCCUUUGAUACUGACAAUCUCGAGUCCGGAAGAGGUGGGUGGAAUUCCUAGUGUAGAGGUGAAAUUCGUAGAUAUUAGGAAGAACACCAGUGGCGAAGGCGGCCCACUGGUCCGGUACUGACGCUGAGGUGCGAAAGCGUGGGGAGCAAACAGGAUUAGAUACCCCUGUAGUCC
rnacentral:rRNA from 1 species